rnacentral:misc_RNA from 1 species
GGAGGCUAGUCAUAUUACUAAGGGUGUCAAUCUAUUAAUAGCAACCCCUGGUCGACUUCUUGACCAUCUCCAGCAUACUAAAAAUUUUGUGUUUAAGAAUUUGAAGUGCCUCAUAAUUGAUGAAGCCGACAGGAUAUUGGAAACUAAUUUUGAGGAGGAAAUGAAACAAAUUAUAAAGCUCCUACCGAAGAAUAGGCAGACUGCUUUGUUCUCAGCAACCCAAACACAAAAGGUUGAAGAUCUUGUCCGCUUGUCGUUU